rnacentral:lncRNA from 1 species
GAGAAGCUGCGAAGAUGGCGGAGUAAGGCGUGCCGCUGCAAACUGGCCUCUGGGCCGGGGGCGAGCAGCCCCCGGGAGGCCGAGUGCAUCUGUUGGACCGUGCGAGGAGAAGAAAAAAAAUAUCGGCCAGAGGAGAGGAACUAACCGAACAUUCUUCCUCCCUACCUUAUAGAGGGGAGUGGUCAUCUACACUAAAGCAAAGUGUUAGGCGCGUCCGUGCGAAGAGACCACCAAACAGGCUUUGUGUUCCUUAUCACAGGAAGAAAAUUUUCCUUGACCUUUAGCUUGAAAACAGGUACAUAGAAGUGGAACAAUAAGCCGUUAGCUUCAGCAGAAGACGAACAUGAAAAAUGACUGUGUCUCUAUGUUGUCUCCUAGAGUGGGUAGUCCUGCUUCUUUUACCCAGUUACUUUCCCGUUUUUGAAAUGUGGCUAUCACUUCUCUACACAUUACCUCCAUGAUUUGGAAUGGAAAAGGCCACUUUUCUUUUUGUUCUGCCUCUCAAAUUCAACACAGAGGAGCUCCUAGGAUUCCAGUUAUCCUGCUAACAUCUCCAGGAAGAAAGAAGCAACUCACAUGGGUCUUUUGCUGUUUGCUUAAUUAUAAAGACAUCAUUUUGCAAGCAGAAGGCUGAGUUUCAUUUGAAACAGGUGCUUAGGUGGUGGUAUUUGUGAAUACUUUUCAUUCCAAGCAAGAAGACUAAAGAAGUAGCAAGUAUGAAUGACUUCAGGGUUUAAAAAAAAUGUCUUCCAGUUUCAGCCACUACCAUGAUAAGCACAGUUGAGACUGCAGCAGUAAAUUCCAAAUAUGUGUUUCUAAUUUGACGUGAAAGAUACUAAAAAUUUAUAUUUG